AUACUAGUUAGGUUCCUUACCACUACGCCACAUGGGAACUCUAGGUUGUAACUUUCUACCCAUGCUUCACAGUAGCCUCAGUACUCUGAGGUGACCUUUGAAAGAGACCUUAAGUUUGGGGAAGUAGCUCCUUGAAGGUUCUGGGCGUUUCACCACCAAUUCAACCAUGACAGUCAUUAUCUUAUCUGUUUUCCUAGAGUAGUAAAGAUUUCUUAAAUUAUCCAAAGGGUCUCUAUAGCUUAAUAGAAAGGUCUUGAAAACAGCCCUGUUUCAGGCAACUUGUAAGUCGUAGAUUUUCAAUGGAUUCUAUAUUUAUUUAUGUAUAUAAUCUAUAGCCAAAAUGGAUUUGAAGUCAUCAUAGCGUUUUACUAAUGGAUGAGACCAGAGUAAGUGAUUUAUUGCUAAAAUACACUGAAAAGAACAAAGCGAUUAAAAUAGUAACUGUUGGGAAUACUGUUUUAUUUCUUUUGUGCACAGCAGAAAUGAACAAACACAAAUCUUAAUGGGAGACAUUUAUAUUGAUUCUUAUCAUUGUGAACAAGCAAGACAGUGAAAAAUCAUGACUGAGUGUGUUAUUAACUAUAUUUCAAAGUUAUUGUUGGUUGUGUGAGUCUGUUGAACAGUUGUUGGCUAAUUUUCCAUAGCAAGAAAGAAUAAUGACCAACUCAUAAAUUGUUUCUGGAUCCAUUUUGAUCAACAGAGAUUAUUACUGAUUUUAAAGAGCCAGUUUGAAAAGAUGAAAAGUCCAUUAAUAAAUAAAAACUGUCUGAAUAUUAACAGUUUUGAAUGGCACUCGUCUAACACUUCAUAACACAGAUUUAACAAGUGUUUUCCUCCAGGCAGAAGGGCUCCAUGAAAAUAGCUUUGAAAAUAGCUUUCAGGCCUGACUAAAGACUCAGCCGGGCUGUUUGUCUCUAUGGUUAAGUUGAUGGACCAUUGGCAAGAACCCACCCAUUUCUGUAACUAUGUCCGACCAGAUGGGCCUGCUUCAGGGCGGAACAUUCUUCUGAGGGCAGGUCAAAGCUGGCCAGAUCACCAGAUCGACACUUGUAAAAGGCCUAGUCAUAAAUCCAUCACGUCACCUCUGACUUGAGCUAAGCCGCUGAGCAAAGAAAACCAGGUUAUCUUCUAGAAUAGUCUUGGGAACUUUCCUUGGAAGACUUGGAAAGGUAGAUAAAGUUCUCUGAAAGCCUCUUCACCUGAUAAGAUUAUUUUAUUCAGCACAGGUGAUAGCUACAAGGAACUAUUCUGAAAGGGAGUUGGCAUUACCUAGAAUUCCAGAUUAAAGCCCAUUGCACAGCAAGUGGGGAGACGGGGGAAUAAGUUGAAUCAGAAUAAAUAGACCAGAUGCAGCCUUCCCCGGGCUGCAGCAGACCCGUCUAAGAGACGUGGCACAGCCAUCGUCUGUUUCCAAGCAGGCAAAGUGAUCCAGCAGGGUCUGAUCAGAAGAGGCCAAGCAGGAAUCCAGUUUCAUGAGUUCUUGGCAGCAGCGAUGCUCCCUGUUAGGGGUAGACCGAAUUGCUAACAGGAACCAGCCAGCUCCAUCCAGUUUCAAGGCUGUGCUCACAGGGCUCCAGCUACUGGAAAAGUCAGCAACAGACAGAGGGUCCUUCCAUACCUGCCUGGCUGGGAGAGAAACGCAGCCUCCAGGCGCUGGGAUGGGGCUGGAAGUGUGCAGAAUGGAGUUCCCAGCAUCGGGCCUGCAGAGUCCGGGUUGCAGGGCAGCCAAACUUGGGCAGCGGAAUUCACGGAUCAGGUAGACUUUUUUGGUAGGUCACACCACCACCAAAUUCUGCGUCUCCGUCUGGAAAAUACGUGCUGACCCAGAAUCAAGAUCAGCUUUUCUCUGGCUGAAUGCCUGCAGGCGAACUGUGCAUUCAGCCUAAAAGAGCAACCAAUCCUCCGAAAGAAAUGUGAAUCCUUUGGCAAAGCGUGAGGAGGUGGUGUUGGCUUUUCCAUUUUCCUCCGUAGGGGACCAUAUCCUUGCUUUUGUGCCCUUUCCCAGAGGCUGGGAACCAGGGCCCCGAAAAAGAUGUUGAAAAGAAGGGGUUUUCUAACAUAAAGCAAAUUCAGGUUCCUGUUUAGACGAAAUUCAAUGCAAAUGUAUGAAAUCAUGUCACGGCCUCGCUCUUAAUUUGUAUCAGUCCAAAAAGCAAGUUUCCAGAAGCUGUUCCGCGUCUGAAGUCUAAAAGCAAGUACCUUCUGCUGUCUGGAACCAGUUUCCACCAUACCACACAGCCCCCUGCAAGCUUAGCCAAGAUCGCUUUCAACUGACUCCUUGCAGCUGUUUGGAAUUCCACAAUGAUGCUCUGCUGAGUCGCAGAGCCUCGCUGGGCGAGCCGUACAGUAAACACAUGAAUCUCUGCCAGCACUGGCAUCUCGCAGCACCAUGAUUUGCAAACAUGUUGAAUUGCUAUUUUAUUCAAUAAACGGAACGUACAAUAGAAAAUA